GUUUGAUCAUGGCUCAGAUUGAACGCUGGCGGCAGGCCUAACACAUGCAAGUCGAACGGUAACAGGAAGCAGCUUGCUGUUUCGCUGACGAGUGGCGGACGGGGGAGUAAUGUCUGGGAAACUGCCUGAUGGAGGGGGAUAACUACUGGAAACGGUAGCUAAUACCGCAUAACGUCGCAAGACCAAAGAGGGGGACCUUCGGGCCUCUUGCCAUCGGAUGUGCCCAGAUGGGAUUAGCUAGUAGGUGGGGUAACGGCUCACCUAGGCGACGAUCCCUAGCUGGUCUGAGAGGAUGACCAGCCACACUGGAACUGAGACACGGUCCAGACUCCUACGGGAGGCAGCAGUGGGGAAUAUUGCACAAUGGGCGCAAGCCUGAUGCAGCCAUGCCGCGUGUAUGAAGAAGGCCUUCGGGUUGUAAAGUACUUUCAGCGGGGAGGAAGGGAGUAAAGUUAAUACCUUU
rnacentral:rRNA from 1 species